GAAUGCAAGAUUUUGUGCAAUACUUCUUUUAAUGCCUCUUUUGGUUAAAUGAACUGUGCUGUCAAAAGUACAAAAACAAGCAAAAUUACAUGAUCUAUUAACAUCUAGGUACAAAUCUAGAAAUCCUCUCCUUAAGAAAUGUUUUCUACAGYGUGCAUUUGUAAGAAGACAAGAAUGAGCUGAUGAAAAGGAGACAAUUUUUGUUAAUUUUUACUACUGUCAGAAAACAAAUUUGUUUAAAUGCUGAASAAAACUGCGAAGACAGAGAGCACGCUUUUUAUCACUUUCUGGAACAGUAAAUGAAGAUGUGUAAAUGAUGCUGCUAAACUCCGACUUCCAGGAUGCGGAAGACGUGGCUGCUUUUAGCAGUUCUGGCAGCUCCUACUGUAGGAGCACC